rnacentral:rRNA from 1 species
GAUAACUUUACGGAUCGCAUAGCCUUGCGCUGGCGACGGUUCAUUCAAAUUUCUGCCCUAUCAACUUUCGAUGGUAAGGUAUUGGCUUACCAUGGUUUCAACGGGUAACGGGGAAUUAGGGUUCGAUUCCGGAGAGGGAGCCUGAGAAACGGCUACCACAUCCAAGGAAGGCAGCAGGCGCGCAAAUUACCCAAUCCCGACACGGGGAGGUAGUGACAAUAAAUACUGAUACAGGGCUCUUUUGGGUCUUGUAAUUGGAAUGAGUACAAUUUAAACCUCUUAACGAGGAACAAUUGGAGGGCAAGUCUGGUGCCAGCAGCCGCGGUAAUUCCAGCUCCAAUAGCGUAUAUUAAAGUUGUUGCAGUUAAAAAGCUCGUAGUUGAAACUUGGGCCUGGCUGGCGGGUCCGCCUCACCGCGUGCACUCGUCCGGCCGGGCCU